GAGGUACAGCAGAUUAGAUGAGGAGGCACUUCUACACUAGGGAUGGAAAAUUAAUGGUACCUGUGAUGGUUAAUGUUAGGUGUCAACCUGGCCAGGCUAGGCUAGGCUGUGCAGAGAACCCUGACUGGCACACUGCCCGCACCACCAACUGCUCUCUCGGGCCCAGGGUGGCGAUGGGUUGUAGCCGCUGCCGAUGCUCUUUCCUUCUGGUGCCAGAUGCAGCUUCAGUAUCAUCUGCAAGUUGGGGGGACCGUGAUGAUUGGAGUCAGCACUUGAGAGGAAACGUGCUUGCUGUUCCAAUUCUAGUGGAUAUUCUUCGUGGAUGUUGACUAAUAAAAC
rnacentral:lncRNA from 1 species